rfam:Flavobacterium terrae strain DSM 18829 genome assembly, contig: Ga0131135_104
UCGAAGUUGAGUUUGACACAACUUUAAAAACAGGGCGGAAUCUGAAAAGCCAUAUGAGUAGGAGGUCA